rnacentral:rRNA from 1 species
CACCUCUAGCAUUACUAGUAUUAGAGGCACUGCCCGCCCAGUGACAUUAGUUAAACGGCCGCGGUAUCCUGACCGUGCAAAGGUAGCAUAAUCAUUUGUUCUUUAAAUAGGGACUUGUAUGAACGGCCACACGAGGGUUCUACUGUCUCUUGCUUCCAAUCAGUGAAAUUGACCUCCCCGUGCAGAGGCGGGGAUACACAAAUAAGACGAGAAGACCCUAUGGAGCUUUAAUUAACUAACUCAAAGAAAAUAUAAAUAACCGCCAAGGGAUAAUAAUCUUCUACCUGAGUUAGCAAUUUCGGUUGGGGUGACCUCGGAGAACAGAAAAACCUCCGAGUGACUAAAAUCUAGACUUACCAGUCAAAAUGUAGUGUCACUUAUUGAUCCAAAAUAUUUGAUCAACGGAACAAGUUACCCUAGGGAUAACAGCGCAAUCCUAUUCAAGAGUUCAUAUCGACAAUAGGGUUUACGACCUCGAUGUUGGAUCAGGACACCCCAAUGGUGCAGCCGCUAUUAAAGGUUCGUUUGUUCAACGAUUAAAGUCCU